AUGACAUCAAAAGAGGAUGCUGCUGAGUUUGUGGAUAGACACAGGGCUGAGCUCAUCCAGAGGGUUCGCAAGGUGAUGCCCAUAGCAGAUGAUCUGCUCAGAAGGGGCAUGAUCCAAUAUGAAAUGUUUGCUAAUAUUUCAACUUCCAAGACCAACCCAGGCAAGAUGAGAGAGGUGUACAAAGCAUUGCAGUCAGGAGGGACACCACUUAAAGCAGCCUUCUAUAGGAUUCUGCUGAAAAAUGAACGUCUUCUGGUCAUCAAUCUGGCUGCUGAGUUUGUGGAUAGACACAGGGCUGAGCUCAUCCAGAGGGUUCGCAAGGUGAUGCCCAUAGCAGAUGAUCUGCUCAGAAGGGGCAUGAUC
rnacentral:lncRNA from 13 species